AGCUGACAAAAGGCAGAGCGAGGAUGGAGCUGGUUGCAGUUCCCUCUGUUCCGGUGGGUGAAACUGAUAAGGAAUGGAUGAGGCUCAACUGUCAGGAGCAUGCAACACCGACAAGGUUUAUGUAGCUGUAACAACAGCGUUUCCAAAGACCAGGUGAUGAUGCCAAUGGCGUUUUGGGGGCAUUUUGAAUGUCCUAACCACAAUUUCUAAGCAGACAGGAGUGACCAGGGGUCAUUGGAUGCUGAGCACCCUGGUUGUUGUCUCAGCCAACACGUGGGAUUUGGAACGGCAAUGAAGAUGAGCCAGACCAGGAUGGAGGAACCUUGAUUCUGAGCGAAGGUGCUUCCUUUCUGAUGCUGCUUUUGCUGCUCUGCAGCCCAGCUGGAACUGGAAAAUGGUACAAGCCGUAGCAGAAAAUGUCAUCUCUAUGGAAACUUCCAAACCCAAUGGAGGAUGAUGGGAUCAAGUUUACAGAAUGAUCAAUAUUUUAUUCUGAGCUCAUUUCUAAGUGAGGCAGGAUAAACUCCUGAUUGGACAAGUGGUGCAAAAUUCCAGAUAGAGGUGGAAACUCCUGAAGUGGACUGAAUUGAGGGGUGGAGUGUCUGGGGCUGAAUCCUCAUGCGAAAGAGGGACUGGGACAAAGAAAAAUUGCACUGCGAUAUUUACCAUGGAAUGGUAUCUGGCAGGAGGAAGAAGGAACAUCAUCACCUCUGGACAGGUUUGAAAAGUUCAUGGGGGUAAAAGAACUGCUUAUUUUCUCUGUUGGCUUGAGUGUGUAAACAACAUAGGAUUGUGUUUUUCCCCUCUCUCCAGUCACUUCAUCUGUAUUCCCUUAUCCUCACCUCUGUUUUUUUAUCACUUGUCUCCUAUUUAUAUAUUGUUCCCCAGUCCUGAGGUCUGUCACUCUUGGGAAGACUUUUAAUUUUUUUCCCAGACAUGCCUGGACUUAUCGUCCUACCUGGAACCCACUAUGAUCCAUGACCAACAGAUGGGCUUCUUGACAUUCUUAUUUAGUUCUAACCUGCAAUCCAAUUUUCUCUUAUUUAUCUGUAUCUAUCUCAAAUCUAUUUGGUUCUGCAGUCUAGUCCUAUUUCCAUCCUUUUCUCUACACUCUGUGGAAGUGUUUGCUUUCAGAACUGGGCCAGCUCCGCUGCUCUGCUGGAAACCUGGUCCUUGGUCAGAGGGAACAAGAGCAGGAAGAUGAUGAUCAAUCUUCCCCCUCAGCCGGUGGUAAUAACCUUGUGAUUUAGGAACAUCCAUGACACUAUUCCAAUUAUUACACUUAAUAGACACUGAUAAAAUGAUGCUCUUGGAUUUUUUGGAACAUUUUCUGAAAUUCUUUAGAAUUUGUAAUUAUUUAUAAAUAAUGUUUAGCCUGCAGUGAUGCCUUCUACAUCUUUAGUGCUGUGCAUGAUGUGAAAACACACUUUGUUAAAGCUGUGGCACAUCCACGGCUUCCAUUGGCAGUGGCUGAUUUGUCACUGCGAGGA